GUCCACCAUAGACCUAAGACAUAAGAAGUAUGGUGGGACUCACCUAUUAAAUACAUGAGGUUCCACAUGUUUAUAUCUUGGGUCCAUGAUAGAUCAAUUCUAGGCAAAAAUUUCCCUUAUUUAAGAUGAGAACUGUACUACUAACAACACUUCAUGGUCACCGAGAAGGAAAGACAUCUUCCUAGGGACCAUGAACCCAGUGCUGCUAUCAAGCAAUCAUUAAAGAGACAUUAUUAUCAAGUCAACAGCAAUCGUGACAAACUUUCUUAUACAAUAAUAAAAAAAUUUAUUUUGGUUCACAAACUUCACAUAUAUGACCAGCCAUCUACAGAAUACGCUAGCUUGUUAUUAAAGGCUUAGUUGACUAUCUACACAAUAGAAUCUUCUCAACCAUUAACAAGAUUAAAUCCUUAAGGGUUUGCCAAACAAAUUUUUUGGUGCAAGAACACUUAGGG
rnacentral:misc_RNA from 1 species